UAGUAAGUCGUAACAAGGUCUCCGUUGGUGAACCAGCGGAGGGAUCAUU
rnacentral:rRNA from 1 species